AUUGAACGCUGGCGGCAGGCUUAACACAUGCGAGUCGAGCGGAGAUGAGGUGCAUGCACCUUAUCUUAGCGGCGGAGGGGUGAGUAAUGCUUAGGAAUCUGCCUAUUAGUGGGGGACAACAUUCCGAAAGGAAUGCUAAUACCGCAUACGUCCUACGGGAGAAAGCAGGGGAUCUUCGGACCUUGCGCUAAUAGAUGAGCCUAAGUCGGAUUAGCUAGUUGGGGGGGUAAAGGCCUACCAAGGCGACUAUCUGUAGCGGGUCUGAGAGGAUGAUCCGCCACACUGGGACUGAGACACGGCCCACACUCCUACGGGAGGCAGCAGUGGGGAAUAUUGGACAGUGGGGGGAACCCUGAUCCAGCCAUGCCGCGUGUGUGAAGAAGGCCUUAUGGUUGUAAAGCACUUUAAGCGAGGAGGAGGCUACUGAGACUAAUACUCUUGGAUAGUGGACGUUACUCGCAGAAUAAGCACCGGCUAUCUCUGUGCCAGCAGCCGCGGUAAUACAGAGGGUGCGAGCGUUAAUC
rnacentral:rRNA from 1 species